rnacentral:lncRNA from 1 species
UUUCUUCCUAUUUUACAUUAUCGAUUAUUCAUUCUAAUCAUUGGUACAUUUUAGGUAUACAAUAUAAUGACAUUCAUCAUUGGAAAUUUGCGAUUGUGCCUGUCUUAACAGUCGGCCAGUAUUGUAAGCGGCUGAGCUUGGGUUAGCGCAUAAAAGGUCUCGAUCAGAAAUCUGCUCUCAUGAGGGUGCAGGAGUGAAAAGCAACAUCAGUGACAAAAACAGAGGACAAAAAGCUUUGUUCUCUUAGAUUUUCUUACUGCUUACUUAGUAUUAAAACCAUGACUUCUGCCAGGCAUGGUGGCACAUGCCUGUAAUCCUAGCAUUCUAGGAGGCUGAGGCAGGAGGAUUAUAAAUUCAGGCCCAGCCUGGGCAAUUUAGUGACUUAACAAAAAUAAAUAAAAAAUAAAAAAGGGCUGGGGAUGCAGCUAUGUGCAAAGGCUCUGGGUUCAGCCUCCAGUGUGGGGGUGGGGGGACCCAAAACAAAACCAGGCAGUGAUGUAUUGUUAGUAGGAAGGUGAAUGAUAAUAUCCCCACUCAGUUACUUACUGGCAGGCGAUGGAAAUAGUUAAGUAAGUUUUCAGCUGUAGGAAAGUUAGCAAAAUAUGCCCGAUCCAAAAAGCCCCAAAACGUUACGUCGCAUUUAAAAAGAAAGUUCUGGAGGGUGGGGCCACCGAGAGGAGGGGGCAGCCGAGCUGCAGCGCCAGCCCCGCGCGUGCGCACAGGGACCGCCCGGCGCCCUGGGGGACCCACGGCGCCUGGACCGAAAAGCGUGGGGCGAAGGGGCUGCCCAGGCCUGGGUCCCUCUUGAGAACCAGCAGCACUAGAGCCCGGUGUGGUGGUGCAUGCCUGUGAUUGCAGCACCAGGGAGGCUGAGGAAGGAGGAUCUCCAGGCCAGGCUGGGCUACAAAGCGAGACCCUGUCAAACAAACGAACGAACGAACGAACGAGAAAACCAAAAAACAAAGAGGUGAGCGCAGCAGGAGUCACGACCAGGGAGACUGAAGUACAGCGCACAGACGCCAGAGGGAGCCAGAGGCUUCGAGCUCAGACAGGAAACGGGCAGAUGGGAAAUUACGCUGACAAAGCCGGACAGUUUAAAAGGCAGAAUAACAGAAUGCCACAACUGUGAGGAGAGAGGAAGAAGAGGAGGAGGCGGAGGAGGAAGGAGAAGAAAGAGCCCUCAUGACUCUGAACCUGCUGGCACACUGAUCUUGGACAUCCGUGACUCCUCACCACCUUCAAACAAAAGCAGAAGACAAAGCAAAGAACGCUUCAAAGCUUCACAGCUUUACAUCUCCAAGAUAAAAGUGAAGACUAUGCUGUGAUUCAUCUAAAAGACAAAGAGAGCCAGCUUGACUUUCCUGCCACGUGGACUUCUCACUCCAUCUCUGAUGCUAAGAUCAAGUUGAUCAGAACCAGAUGACCAGGACAAGAAGCCGAGGACAGCAGAGAUGAACAGCAAGCCCAAGGGCCUGGACCAGGCCAGCAAAAAUCCAACUUCUCAUGCUCCUUCUUUUAGGAUUCUCUGAUCCUGCCCAGAGAAGCCCUGAUUCAUGGAGGCUCAACGCUGUCAUUCCACCAGCAACCUGCCAGUGGCUGGCUCUGCCAUGGCUGGUCUAUAAAUUCCUUCUCAAAGGAUAAUGAUGCAAUUAUUGUCCUUAUAACUAAUUUCUCCUCAGUACCCCCUUUCAUAGACCUCAAUACGUUACCUACUGAGUUUGUCUGUAUCCUCCUCACACCAAAUGUGUCCUGUGUUUUUUUCUUACCCUACCUAAAGAAUCACCUAUAAUGCUUUCUGUCCCUAAAUCCAAAAACCCCAUGGCUAUAAUAAAAAAAAAAUCAUAAGACUGAGUAAUAGUCAAAGCACUAACAUGUGCCUGUUAAACAUCACCACCUUAGUUCCCAGCUCCAUUAAAUUCUUACAGGAUUCUUUCUUCAAUAGGAAAGACCCACUAUCAUUUCUUGGCCUUUUGGCUAAGAUCAAGUGUAGGAAAGACCCACUAUACCCAACCCCUGUGGGUACAAUUUGGUGAGGCUCUUUUUCUUCUUUUCAGUACCAGGGAUCGAACUCAGGACGUUGGCCUUGCAAAGCAGGUGUGGUGUCGCUGAGCUAAAACCCUGACUCUCUUGGUGAGGUUCUUUUACUCUUCAUCUCUGGUAUUCCUUUAACUUCACCUGUCAGAGUAAUUUUACCCCACUCUUCUUGCUAUCCUAAUACCAUUCUUUGGUUUUACAGUCUCACCAAACUUCUACCCCAAAGUGAGGCCCUAAACUUCCAGAAUGUGUGUAACCCUUGCAGGUGCCUCCUGGUUGGGUCUUUGUGGCUACUAUGAGGGCAGAGGGCUGCUGUGACUGCCUGACUCCUGGAAAAUGGGAAGACUGUGCCCACUGGGGUGCUCGACGACCCCCUGUCCUUCUCCAGUUAAUGACUCCAGUGGAC